rnacentral:tRNA from 1 species
CGGGGCGUGGCGCAGUCUGGUUAGCGCGUCUGUUUUGGGGACAGAAAGUCGGAGGUUCAAAUCCUCUCGCCCCGA